UUAUGUAAGAAACACAAAAGUCACGGAAACCUUCCCUAAGUGCUCAUCGUGAAGUGUUAGCGACCACCGCAUCGGCGAGUACAAUGCCUCAAGUGACUCAUUGUCUCUUAACGGCUUCUAUGCCCUGACUCAUGUCCUAGCGAGAAAACGGCUUUUUGCACCUCCCAGGAUACCGGCAGCCGCUGACUGAAAACAAGAAACUUAACGGUAGAGGGGCAAAGAAAAGCAGCCCAAAGACUGCUCAGAUAUACGACUCUCCAGAAAGCCUUUGUGGAGUACACUGCUGCCAAAAUGGAAUUCUUCACGAUGCAAUCGAGCGCUGUAUUUCAAAAACCGAGGGACUUGCGGGGACUCCUUCACGCAAUAGAGAAAGGAGAGCAUUUAAAAAAUGGAUGAAUGACAGCAUUUCCUUCAAAA